CUACGGGGGGCUCCAGUGAGGAAUAUUGCACAAUGGGGGGAACCCUGAUGCAGCAACGCCGCGUGGAGGAUGACGCAUUUCGGUGUGUAAACUCCUUUUAUAUGUCAAGAAAAUGACGGUAGCAUAUGAAUAAGCACCGGCUAACUCCGUGCCAGCAGCCGCGGUAAUACGGAGGGUGCAAGCGUUACUCGGAAUCACUGGGCGUAAAGGACGCGUAGGCGGGUUGGAAAGUCAGGUGUGAAAUCCUACAGCUUAACUGUAGAACUGCACUUGAAACUUCUAAUCUAGAGUAUGGGAGGGGGAGAUGGAAUUAGUGGUGUAGGGGUAAAAUCCGUAGAUAUCACUAGGAAUACCUAAAGCGAAGGCGAUCUCCUGGAACAUUACUGACGCUAAGGCGUGAAAGCGUGGGGAGCAAACAGGAUUAGAUACCCGAGAGUC
rnacentral:rRNA from 1 species